CCCCCCCCCCCCCCCCUGUGCUGCUCUCUUCUUUAUCUCAUCCCUCCUCGUCUUUUUUUUGUGUCUCUUUAUGCUGAUGUGGACUUAAUAGCCACGACAAACACAGAUCAUGCGAUGACUGAGCGCGCUUUGGGCACAUCCACCGAGUCCAUUCCAGGAGGUAAAUGAUGGCCGAGGAUGGGGGAAAUUUCUCCGGGAUCUCCGACGCCAGGGGCUCGGAGGGUCGCUCCUCUUUGCCGAGGACUUUUAUCCGCCUCAACGACCUGUCCGGGGCCAGAACAGGAGGCGGGGAGGGUGGAGAAUUGGUGGUGGAGCAGGCGUCCCCGACGCCUGACGGGAUCUCUACAACCGGGGAGGAAGUGUCUGCGAGCGGGGAUGAGAACCUGCCCUACCCCGCCAUGGCCCCCGUGGUCUUCUUCUACCUGAAACAAACCACCCGGCCUCGGAGCUGGUGUCUUAAGAUGGUCAGCAAUCCAUGGUUCGAGCGAGCGUCCAUGCUGGUGAUCCUGCUGAACUGUGUGACUCUGGGCAUGUUUCACCCCUGCGAGGACAUCGUCUGCGACUCUGAGAGGUGCAAGAUCCUGCAGAACUUCGAUGACUUCAUCUUUGCAUUCUUUGCCAUUGAGAUGGUGAUCAAGAUGGUGGCUCUGGGGAUUUUUGGCAAGAAGUGUUACCUUGGAGACACUUGGAACCGCUUGGACUUCUUCAUAGUAUUGGCGGGGAUGUUGGAGUACUCCCUCAACUUGCAGAACGUCAGUUUUUCCGCAGUGAGGACGGUUCGCGUGCUGAGACCUCUGAGAGCCAUCAACCGAGUGCCAAGUAUGCGCAUCCUGGUGACCCUGCUGCUGGACACCCUGCCUAUGUUGGGUAACGUGCUGCUGCUCUGCUUCUUUGUCUUCUUCAUAUUUGGCAUCGUGGGCGUCCAGCUGUGGAACGGCUUGCUCAGAAACCGCUGCUUCCUGGGCAACUUCUCCAUCCCUCUCUCUGUGGAGCUUGAGAAAUACUACCACACUGAAAACGACGACGAGAGCCCCUUCAUCUGCUCCAAGCCUCGAGAGAACGGCAUGAGGGACUGCGGCUCGGUGCCCAAGGUAUACAAGGAAGGAGGCCUGCAGUGCACCCUGGGCUUGGAUUAUUACAACAGCACUGACAACAACACCUGCAUCAACUGGAACCAGUACUACACCAACUGCUCUGCUGGUCUGGUCAACCCCUUCAAGGGAGCCAUCAACUUCGACAACAUCUGCUACGCCUGGAUUGCCAUCUUUCAGGUGAUUACUCUGGAGGGCUGGGUGGACAUCAUGUACUUUGUGAUGGAUGCUCACUCCUUCUACAACUUCAUUUACUUCAUCCUACUCAUCAUUAUUGGCUCAUUCUUCAUGAUCAACCUGUGCCUAGUGGUCAUCGCCACUCAGUUCUCCGAGACCAAGCAGAGGGAGAGUCAACUGAUGAAGGAGCAACGGGUGCGCUUCAUGUCAAAUGCUAGCACCCUGGCCUCCCUCUCCGAGCCGGGCUCCUGCUACGACGAGCUGCUCAAGUACCUGGUUCACAUCGUCCGCAAGGGGGCCAGACAAGUGGCCCAUAUCUGUAGGUUCCUGGCUCGCCGCGCUGGGCUUAAUAUCGCUGCCACGCCCCCUGCAACGGAGCCCCAACGCAGCCAGAGGAGGAGGAGGAAACCCUCCAGACAGGGAUCUGUGUCGGUUCAUCACAUGGCACACCACUACCACCACCACCACCACCUGGGUAAUGGCAGCUUGAGGGGAGGAGGGGGCAUCAGGUCCCUGGAGGGUAGGGAUGUGGAGGUUGGUUCUCAUAACAACAGAGAGGCCCUUGUAGCAACCAACAGCGCUGGUCAUCUUGCUUUGGCCCCACCACUUUCACCAUCAGCAGCCACCUCUCAUACAACCUUGGCAACAUCGUCCAAGCCUGCUGGGGAAGCUGCCGUUUUCUCUUCAGUUUGCAGUGAAUUCCACUCAGAAACUCUUCGCUGCACCCCCUCGCCCACAAGCCCGGGGUCAACCGCGGACCCUUUCCCGCUUGUCCCGGCUCCCAAGUCCAGAGCCAUGAAGAGGAACUCUGUACCUUUUGCGGCUCCAGGGCCUAAGAACUACCCCACUCUGCAGGCCCGAGCCCUGGCAGAGUCCAGAAGAGGGAGUGUUGCUGCCAGCACUCUGUCAAACAUUGGCUUCAACCUGAACAUCCCGCCCAUGCCCCUGGAGAGACGGCCAUCAAGCCUGGUGGACACACACUCUCCCACAGCCCAGCUCUCCUGCCAGCUGUCGGCUCGUGACCUCAGCACGACCAGCAGAGCCAUGGACACAGCCGCUCUGACCCUGGACCCCGAGAGUUGCCCCUACUGCGCCAAGGCCCUGGCCAACGAGUCCGAGGGCGGCACCGAGGGCAACGAGACCCCCGGAGACUCCGACAGUGAGGGCGCGUACGAGUUCACCCAGGACCUCCACCACAGGGACAGGAGAGACAGCCGGCGGCCCACAAAGAAGCAGCGAGGGAUUGGCAAAACGUUUGCGAAGGUGGUCCGUUUCUGGAGGCUGGUGUGCGACACAUUCAGGAAGAUCGUGGACAGCAAGUACUUUGGACAAGGGAUUAUGAUCGCCAUUCUGAUCAACACUCUGAGCAUGGGGAUCGAGUACCAUGAGCAGCCGGACGAGCUGACCAAUGCGUUGGAGAUCAGUAACAUCGUGUUCACCAGCCUGUUCUCUCUGGAGAUGCUGUUGAAGGUUUUGGUCUACGGGCCCUUUGGCUACAUCAAGAAUCCCUACAAUAUCUUCGAUGGCAUCAUCGUGGUGAUCAGUGUGUGGGAGAUCGUGGGUCAGCAGGGUGGCGGUCUGUCGGUGCUCAGGACUUUCCGGCUGAUGCGGGUGCUGAAGCUGGUCCGUUUCAUGCCGGCCCUGCAGAGGCAGCUGGUGGUGCUGAUGAAGACCAUGGACAAUGUGGCCACCUUCUGCAUGCUGCUCAUGCUCUUCAUUUUCAUUUUCAGUAUCCUGGGGAUGCAUCUGUUUGGGUGUAAGUUUGGAUGUGAGGCCGAUGGAGACACUCUGCCAGAUAGAAAGAACUUUGACUCUCUUCUCUGGGCUAUAGUGACAGUCUUCCAGAUCCUAACCCAGGAGGACUGGAACAAGGUGUUAUACAACGGCAUGGCCUCCACCACUCCUGUCGCCGCCCUCUACUUCAUCGCGCUCAUGACCUUUGGCAACUACGUCCUCUUCAACUUGCUGGUGGCCAUCUUGGUUGAGGGUUUCCAGACCGAGGAAGUGACCAAGCGGGAGGACUUGCAUGUCCAGCCGAGUCUAAUUCAGCUGCCUGUAGACUCAGGGGGUGAUGCUUCCAAAUCAGGUUCAGAGAUCGACUCCUGUGCACGGAGUAUGGAGGAUGUUAACGGCAGCAAGAAGGAUUUAUCAGCAUCUGCAGUAGUGCCUGUAAAUGGUCAUGUGGACCUGAAGACCAGCUUGACUCCACCUCUAAUUACCCACACGGCUGCCACCCCCAUGCCCGUACCCAAGUUGCCCGUCGGAGCGGACCCCCUCCUUGGCUACGAGUCCCAUCGAGGCAGCAACGUCUCCAUAGACCCAGCCUGCUACGACAAAUCACCGACCAGUGCUCCGAGCUCCUCCCCCCAUGCACCAUGGAGCUCUGGCAGCGGCUGGACCAGCCGCCGGUCCAGCUGGAACAGCGUUGGUCGCGCCCCAUCACUCAAACGCCAGAAGAGGCAGUCCGGGGAGCGGCGGUCUCUCCUCUCCGGGGAGGGAGGCUCCAGCUCGGAGGGCGAAGAAGGUGGAGGAGAAGGAGAAGGCGGGUUGAUGGAGGAAGAUAACACCUCCCUGGUCAGGACGGACUCCAUGUCCCAGUUGCAGAGAGGGCCCAGACACCGGAGGAUGGAGUCGGUGGAGACUCGGAGCUCCAUGGAUUUGCCCCCUGAUGCUCUUCUGCAGGUGCCAUACCUGUACCGAUCAGCCAGUAUGCACAGCUCCAGACCCCCCUCACUGGGCCACUUACAGCCCCCAGAGCACAGCGACUGCAAUGGGAAGGGCUCUCCGCCAGCCCUGGGCCCAACACAUGUCUCUCUGGAGGACAACACUGAAGACGAAAAUGCAGAGGAGGAGGCCAACCUGGGUCGUUUUGCCAGACUGUUCCGCUGGCUGGAGAAGAAACAGCCCGAGUGGUGUCGACAGAGAGACACCUGGUCACUCUACCUCUUCCCUCCAGAGUCGAGGUUUCGGAUCCUGUGCAGUAAGAUCAUCAACCAUGGGAUGUUUGACCAUAUUGUGUUGGUCAUCAUCUUCCUCAACUGUAUUACCAUCGCCAUGGAGAGGCCUCACAUUACCACUAUUGAGCGGAUCUUCCUAAAACUGUCCAACUACAUCUUCACAGCGAUCUUUGUGGCUGAGAUGACCAUAAAGAUUGUAGCUCUGGGCUGGUGUUUUGGGAACAAGGCUUACCUGAGGAGCAGCUGGAACAUUCUGGAUGGGAUGUUAGUGAUGAUCUCUGUUAUUGACAUCCUGGUGUCUCUCAUCUCCAAUUCUGGUACCAAGAUCCUGGGCAUGCUCAGAGUGCUGAGGCUGCUGAGGACCCUGAGGCCGCUACGUGUGAUCAGCAGAGCCCCGGGGCUGAAGCUGGUGGUGGAGACUCUGAUGUCAUCGCUGAAGCCCAUCGGCAACAUCGUGGUCAUCUGCUGUGCCUUCUUCAUCAUCUUUGGCAUCCUGGGAGUACAGCUCUUCAAGGGGAAGUUCUUUGUUUGCGUAGGCGACGAUGUAAAGAACAUUACCAACAAGUCAAGCUGUUUGCAGGCCAACAACAAAUGGAUCAGACACAAGUACAACUUUGACAACCUGGGACAGGCCUUGAUGUCUCUGUUUGUUCUGGCGUCAAAAGACGGCUGGGUGGAUAUUAUGUAUGACGGACUAGAUGCUGUAGGAGUCGAUCAACAGCCGAUAAUGAACUACAACCCGUGGAUGCUGCUCUACUUCAUCUCCUUCCUGCUGAUCGUGGCCUUCUUUGUGCUCAACAUGUUCGUGGGCGUGGUGGUGGAGAACUUCCACAAGUGCCGGCGCCACCAGGAGGCCGAGGAGGCCAAGAUCAGGGAGGAGAAGAGACUGAAACGCAUGGAGAAAAAGAGACGGAAAGCUCAGAGUAAGCCCUACUACUCGGAUUACUCCCCCACUCGCCUGCUCAUCCACAAGAUGUGCACCAGCCGCUACCUGGACCUGUGCAUCACCAUCAUCAUCGGGCUCAACGUCAUCACCAUGUCCAUGGAGCACUACCAGCAGCCGCAGGAGCUGGACAAGGCAUUGACCAUCUGUAACUACAUCUUCACCCUCAUCUUUGUUCUGGAGUCGGUCUUCAAGCUCGUGGCCCUCGGCUUCCGACGCUUCUUCAAGGACAAGUGGAACCAGUUGGAUCUGGCCAUCGUGCUGCUGUCCAUCAUGGGCAUCACUCUGGAGGAGAUUGAUGGCAACACACUGCCCAUAAACCCCACCAUCAUCCGUAUCAUGAGGGUGCUGAGGAUCGCACGAGUUUUAAAGCUCUUGAAGAUGGCGGUGGGGAUGAGAGCUUUGCUGGACACCGUUAUGCAAGCCCUGCCUCAGGUGGGGAAUCUGGGUCUUCUCUUUAUGCUUCUCUUCUUCAUAUUCGCAGCGCUGGGAGUGGAGCUGUUUGGUGACUUGAUCUGUGAUGAACUCCACCCAUGUGAAGGUCUGGGCCGCUAUGCUACAUUCAAAAACUUCGGGAUGGCAUUUCUGCUGCUCUUCAGAGUUUCCACUGGAGACAACUGGAACGGCAUUAUGAAGGACACGUUGAGGGACUGCGCCGCUCAGGACAGCAGCACCUGCUACAACACUGUGGUCUCUCCCAUCUACUUUGUCUCCUUCGUGUUGACCGCUCAGUUUGUCCUGGUCAACGUUGUCAUUGCUGUCCUGAUGAAGCACCUGGAGGAGAGCAACAAGGAAGCCAAGGAGGAGGCAGAGCUGGAGGCAGAGUUGGAGCUGGAGCGCCAGAUAGAAGGGGACAUGGCCACCCGGUCCCCCCAGCUCCACCCUCUGGCGCUGGGCAUGGACCGGUCCAGUGCUGGGGGUUCCCCCUGGAGGUCCAGCGGAGGAGCAGACAGGGACCAGGACAUAGACUGUCCUAUAGACUCACCCACUGCCGAUAUAACCAGAGACUCUGUUGACAUCAGAGAAGACCCCCCUUCGUGCCCGGAGUCCCCGCUUGAGCUGGAGCAGCUGGAUCCUGGGGAGCCACUGGAGGACAACCUGCUGAGCGUCAGGAAGCCUGCGGUGGGACGCACACACUCCCUGCCCAACGACAGCUACAUGUCCCCCCCCCUGCCGACCUCUGGCAACACAGACCUGUGUCCGGCACACCUUUCAGCACAGACACAGUGGCCACAGCACAUACUGGGCACGCACAGAGCGCAAUCAGGCUCCAGUAGCUCGGUGCGUUCACAACCAGAGGAGGGUUCCCAGCGGCUGAGCGUUCCCGCAGACUUCUUCAGACCCAUCAGCCCCCACAGCCACUCCGACUCAGAGAGUAUACCACGACUACCACCUCCAAGAAGCGCACACACACUCAGCCGCACGCUCCACAGACAGGUUGCAGUGUCUACUGAUUCUCAGGAGGCCCUGUGUUCCGAGGGAGGGGAGAGCAAUGAAGGACUUGUGAAUGUGGUCUCUCUCGGCCUCCCUUUAUCUCCCUCCCCCUCUCCCUGCUCCCAUCCUCCUCAGCGGCCGCUUGCUCUCUGCCCGGUCCCCUCCCCUAAACCCCCGCGGCCCAGCAGCGUGCACACCCAGCUUUGUGAGCAGCACUGCCUCGCCUCCUACUCCCCUUCGUCCUCACCUCUUCCGCUCCUACCAGCCAGGCUGCGGCGGCAGGACGAGGCCUCGGCGGAUGAGGAAGUGUCCCUCAUUACCCACGCGGGGUUGGCUGCCGGUGAUGACGUCAUAGCGGACGACAGCGGCGACUACGCCCGCGGUUCCAGGCUGAGGCAGCUGAAGCGGUUCCACAGCGCCGACGUGCAGGGCCACGGCGCCCCCCUGCCCCGCCCCCGUCCUUACUCCUGGUUGGACGACCUGCGGUGUCACUCGGACGAGGUGUGCUCAUCGGCCGAGUCCAGCGCCCAGAGCAGCACCGCCUCCGCCUCCUCCGGCUUUGUGUCGCGGGCCAGCAGCCUGCAGACCCACGGCCAGACGUUCACCCAGACGUCGUUGCCCUCGCCCCGGCGAAAGAAGAAGAUGAGCCCGCCCUGCAUCUCCGUGGACCCCCCUGACGGACUGGAGCCUCAGUCUGGCCUCUACUCGGGCCUCUGCGGCAUGGGACUGGGGGCGUUGGGGAUGCCCCCUGCUGUGCCCAGCCGGGACACCUGCCUGAGGAGGAGGGCACCCUCCAGUGACUCGAAGGACUCCUUUGACCUGGGAGUUGGAGAGGGGUCGGGACAGGAUGGAGGCUCGCCAAACACCAACAACAACCCCAAGCUACUGACUCUUCCCAGAGAAGACAAGCUCUGAGCACUGAACACUGAUCCUGUAACACACACACAAACACACACACAAACACACAGCUGGACAAAACCCUCCACACACACACACACACACACACACACACACACACAAACACGCGAUGCACACUGUGUAUCUGUGAUGGUCAUAGUUCUAGUAAUAAUGCUGUAGAGAGUAGUAAUGGUAUAGCUACAACAAACAUCCUUGGUUUCAUGAGUGCAGUACUGUAGUGGUGUGAGCGUCCCUAUGUCUUUGUGUUGUUACUGCCAAAACAAGCAGAGAAGAAGAGAGCACAUGAAACAACAACACAAACAUGGCCGUUUUCUCUUCUGCUACGCCUGCAUGCCACUGGCUGCAGCUUGACCCCCGGAACACCUGGCGUGACAUCAGCACCGGGGAUCUGGCGCCCUCUGUGGUCGCUGUCUGAACUGCCUGGGGUGAGACAGGUGGGCCUCGCCCGGUCAGUUGAGGUACCAAGCAAUAUGAACGUUUUAGAGACACUAUUUUCUUAAAUUAUUGGGCCAUAGUGUUUGUACAGGAUGUUUUUUGUUUUUUUUAAGUCAUUCGAUUGUUAUUUCCAUGUCUUUUUUGUGAUUUUAUUUAGGUUUUUUUGUCAAAAUGGUUUGUCUUUGUCUUUCUUUUUUUUCCCCACCGUAGGAUAUUUGUAGCUUUCUUGGUUUACUAAGGAAAGUGAACGUUUUUCAAAGUGCUGAAAACAUGUAUUUGUAGGAAUAAUAUAUAAAUAAAUAUAUAUAAAAAAAAAAAGUCAUUAAACUGAGCUUGGAUUUUUAAGCACACACA